rnacentral:rRNA from 1 species
CCCGCAACGAGCGCAACCCUUACUCAUAGUUGCCACCCGCAAGGGGGAACUCUACGAGGACUGCUCCGGAUAACGGAGAGGAAGGUGGGGAUGAGGUCAAGUCAGCAUGGCCUUUAUGUCCAGGGCUACACACGUGUUACAAUGCGCGCCACAAAGCGUCGCGAACCCGCGAGGGGGAGCUAAUCGCAAAAAAGCGCGCUCAGUUCGGAUUGCAGUCUGCAACUCGACUGCAUGAAGCCGGAAUCGCUAGUAAUGGCGCAUCAGAACGGCGCCGUGAAUACGUUCCCGGGCCUUGUACACACCGCCCGUCACAUCACGAAAGUGGGUUGUACUAGAAAUCGCCGUGCCAACCGCAAGGAGGCAGGCGCUCAAGGUAUGACUCAUGAUUGGGGUGAAGUCGUAACAAGGUAGCCGUAGGAGAACCUGCGGCUGGAUCACCUCCUUU